rnacentral:rRNA from 1 species
AACGAACGCUGGCGGCAGGCCUAACACAUGCAAGUCGAGCGCUCUCUUCGGAGGGAGCGGCGGACGGGUUAGUAACGCGUGGGAAUGUACCCUUCUCUAAGGAAUAGCCAUUGGAAACGAUGAGUAAUACCUUAUACGCCCCGGGUCAAACUGGGGGGAAAGAUUUAUCGGAGAGGGAUCAGCCCGCGUAAGAUUAGAUAGUUGGUGGGGUAAUGGCCUACCAAGUCUACGAUCUUUAGCUGGUUUUAGAGGAUGAUCAGCAACACUGGGACUGAGACACGGCCCAGACUCCUACGGGAGGCAGCAGUGGGGAAUCUUAGACAAUGGGCGCAAGCCUGAUCUAGCCAUGCCGCGUGUGUGAUGAAGGUCUUAGGAUCGCAAAGCACUUUCGCCAGGGAUGAUAAUGACAGUACCUGGUAAAGAAACCCCGGCUAACUCCGUG